rnacentral:rRNA from 1 species
GACGAACGCUGGCGGCGUGCUUAACACAUGCAAGUCGAACGGUGAUCCCAGGAGCUUGCUUCUGGGUGAGCAGUGGCGAACGGGUGAGUAACACGUGAGUAACCUGCCCCUGACUCUGGAAUAAGCGCUGGAAACGGCGUCUAAUACCGGAUACGAGACGCAACCGCAUGGUUAGUGUCUGGAAAGUUUUUCGGUCUGGGAUGGACUCGCGGCCUAUCAGCUUGUUGGUGAGGUAAUGGCUCACCAAGGCGAUGACGGGUAGCCGGCCUGAGAGGGCGAUCGGCCACACUGGGACUGAGACACGGCCCAGACUCCUACGGGAGGCAGCAGUGGGGAAUAUUGCACAAUGGGCGAAAGCCUGAUGCAGCGACGCCGCGUGAGGGAUGACGGCCUUCGGGUUGUAAACCUCUUUCAGCAGGGAAGAAGCGCAAGUGACGGUACCUGCAGAAGAAGCACCGGCUAACUACGUGCCAGCAGCAGCCGCCG